UUAAGGGCGCACGGUGGAUGCCUUGGCACUAGAAGCCGAUGAAGGACGUUACUAACGACGAUAUGCUUUGGGGAGCUGUAAGUAAGCUUUGAUCCAGAGAUUUCCGAAUGGGGAAACCCAGCAUGAGUUAUGUCAUGUUAUCGAUAUGUGAAUACAUAGCAUAUCAGAAGGCACACCCGGAGAACUGAAACAUCUUAGUACCCGGAGGAAGAGAAAGAAAAUUCGAUYCCCUUAGUAGCGGCGAGCGAAACGGGAAGAGCCCAAACCAACAAGCUUGCUUGUUGGGGUUGUAGGACACUCUAUACGGAGUUACAAAGGACGACAUUAGACGAAUCAUCUGGAAAGAUGAAUCAAAGAAGGUAAUAAUCCUGUAGUCGAAAAUGUUGUCUCUCUUGAGUGGAUCCUGAGUACGACGGAGCACGUGAAAUUCCGUCGGAAUCUGGGAGGACCAUCUCCUAAGGCUAAAUACUCUCUAGUGACCGAUAGUGAACCAGUACCGUGAGGGAAAGGUGAAAAGCACCCCGGAAGGGGAGUGAAAUAGAACCUGAAACCGUGUGCUUACAAGUAGUCAGAGCCCGUUAAUGGGUGAUGGCGUGCCUUUUGUAGAAUGAACCGGCGAGUUACGAUUUGAUGCAAGGUUAAGCAGUAAAUGUGGAGCCGUAGCGAAAGCGAGUCUGAAUAGGGCGUUUAGUAUUUGGUCGUAGACCCGAAACCAGGUGAUCUACCCUUGGUCAGGUUGAAGUUCAGGUAACACUGAAUGGAGGACCGAACCGACUUACGUUGAAAAGUGAGCGGAUGAACUGAGGGUAGCGGAGAAAUUCCAAUCGAACCUGGAGAUAGCUGGUUCUCUCCGAAAUAGCUUUAGGGCUAGCCUCAAGUGAUGAUUAUUGGAGGUAGAGCACUGUUUGGACGAGGGGCCCCUCUCGGGUUACCGAAUUCAGACAAACUCCGAAUGCCAAUUAAUUUAACUUGGGAGUCAGAACAUGGGUGAUAAGGUCCGUGUUCGAAAGGGAAACAGCCCAGACCACCAGCUAAGGUCCCAAAAUAUAUGUUAAGUGGAAAAGGAUGUGGCGUUGCCCAGACAACUAGGAUGUUGGCUUAGAAGCAGCCAUCAUUUAAAGAGUGCGUAAUAGCUCACUAGUCGAGUGACACUGCGCCGAAAAUGUACCGGGGCUAAACAUAUUACCGAAGCUGUGGAUUGUCCUUUGGACAAUGGUAGGAGAGCGUUCUAAGGGCGUUGAAGCAUGAUCGUAAGRACAUGUGGAGCGCUUAGAAGUGAGAAUGCCGGUGUGAGUAGCGAAAGACGGGUGAGAAUCCCGUCCACCGAUUGACUAAGGUUUCCAGAGGAAGGCUCGUCCGCUCUGGGUUAGUCGGGUCCUAAGCUGAGGCCGACAGGCGUAGGCGAUGGAUAACAGGUUGAUAUUCCUGUACCACCUAUAAUCGUUUUAAUCGAUGGGGGGACGCAGUAGGAUAGGCGAAGCGUGCGAUUGGAUUGCACGUCUAAGCAGUAAGGCUGAGUAUUAGGCAAAUCCGGUACUCGUUAAGGCUGAGCUGUGAUGGGGAGAAGACAUUGUGUCUUCGAGUCGUUGAUUUCACACUGCCGAGAAAAGCCUCUAGAUAGAAAAUAGGUGCCCGUACCGCAAACCGACACAGGUAGUCAAGAUGAGAAUUCUAAGGUGAGCGAGCGAACUCUCGUUAAGGAACUCGGCAAAAUGACCCCGUAACUUCGGGAGAAGGGGUGCUCUUUAGGGUUAACGCCCAGAAGAGCCGCAGUGAAUAGGCCCAAGCGACUGUUUAUCAAAAACACAGGUCUCUGCUAAACCGUAAGGUGAUGUAUAGGGGCUGACGCCUGCCCGGUGCUGGAAGGUUAAGAGGAGUGGUUAGCUUCUGCGAAGCUACGAAUCGAAGCCCCAGUAAACGGCGGCCGUAACUAUAACGGUCCUAAGGUAGCGAAAUUCCUUGUCGGGUAAGUUCCGACCCGCACGAAAGGCGUAACGAUUUGGGCACUGUCUCAACGAGAGACUCGGUGAAAUCAUAGUACCUGUGAAGAUGCAGGUUACCCGCGACAGGACGGAAAGACCCCGUGGAGCUUUACUGUAGCCUGAUAUUGAAAUUCGGCACAGCUUGUACAGGAUAGGUAGGAGCCUUUGAAACGUGAGCGCUAGCUUACGUGGAGGCGCUGGUGGGAUACUACCCUAGCUGUGUUGGCUUUCUAACCCGCACCACUUAUCGUGGUGGGAGACAGUGUCAGGCGGGCAGUUUGACUGGGGCGGUCGCCUCCUAAAAGGUAACGGAGGCGCUCAAAGGUUCCCUCAGAAUGGUUGGAAAUCAUUCAUAGAGUGUAAAGGCAUAAGGGAGCUUGACUGCGAGACCUACAAGUCGAGCAGGGUCGAAAGACGGACUUAGUGAUCCGGUGGUUCCGCAUGGAAGGGCCAUCGCUCAACGGAUAAAAGCUACCCCGGGGAUAACAGGCUUAUCUCCCCCAAGAGUUCACAUCGACGGGGAGGUUUGGCACCUCGAUGUCGGCUCAUCGCAUCCUGGGGCUGUAGUCGGUCCCAAGGGUUGGGCUGUUCGCCCAUUAAAGCGGUACGCGAGCUGGGUUCAGAACGUCGUGAGACAGUUCGGUCCCUAUCCGUCGUGGGCGUAGGAAAUUUGAGAGGAGCUGUCCUUAGUACGAGAGGACCGGGAUGGACAUACCUCUGGUGUACCAGUUGUCGUGCCAACGGCAUAGCUGGGUAGCUAUGUGUGGACGGGAUAAGUGCUGAAAGCAUCUAAGCAUGAAGCCCCCCUCAAGAUGAGAUUUCCCAACUUCGGUUAUAAGAUCCCUCAAAGAUGAUGAGGUUAAUAGGUUCGAGGUGGAAGCAUGGUGACAUGUGGAGCUGACGAAUACUAAUCGAUCGAAGACUUAAUC
rnacentral:rRNA from 1 species